rnacentral:rRNA from 1 species
CAGCCGCCGCGGUAAAACAGAGGGUGCGAGCGUUAAUCGGAUUUACUGGGCGUAAAGCGUGCGUAGGCGGCUUUUUAAGUCGGAUGUGAAAUCCCUGAGCUUAACUUAGGAAUUGCAUUCGAUACUGGGAAGCUAGAGUAUGGGAGAGGAUGGUAGAAUUCCAGGUGUAGCGGUGAAAUGCGUAGAGAUCUGGAGGAAUACCGAUGGCGAAGGCAGCCAUCUGGCCUAAUACUGACGCUGAGGUACGAAAGCAUGGGGAGCAAACAGGAUUAGAUACCCCAGUAGUCCCUGUCUCUUAUAC